rnacentral:rRNA from 1 species
CAGUAGCCGCGGUAAUACGUAGGGUGCGAGCGUUAAUCGGAAUUACUGGGCGUAAAGCGUGCGCAGGCGGUUUGUUAAGACAGAUGUGAAAUCCCCGGGCUCAACCUGGGAACUGCAUUUGUGACUGGCAAGCUAGAGUGUGGCAGAGGGGGGUGGAAUUCCGCGUGUAGCAGUGAAAUGCGUAGAUAUACGGAGGAACACCGAUGGCGAAGGCAGCCCCCUGGGCCAACACUGACGCUCAUGCACGAAAGCGUGGGGAGCAAACAGGAUUAGAUACCCGAGUAGUCCCUGUCUCUUAUAA